rnacentral:rRNA from 1 species
AUUGAACGCUGGCGGCAGGCCUAACACAUGCAAGUCGAGCGGAUGAGAGGAGCUUGCUUCUCGAUUCAGCGGCGGACGGGUGAGUAAUGCCUAGGAAUCUGCCUGGUAGUGGGGGACAACGUUUCGAAAGGAACGCUAAUACCGCAUACGUCCUACGGGAGAAAGCAGGGGACCUUCGGGCCUUGCGCUAUCAGAUGAGCCUAGGUCGGAUUAGCUAGUUGGUGAGGUAAUGGCUCACCAAGGCGACGAUCCGUAACUGGUCUGAGAGGAUGCUCAGUCACACUGGAACUGAGACACGGUCCAGACUCCUACGGGAGGCAGCAGUGGGGAAGAUUGGACAAUGGGCGAAAGCCUGAUCCAGCCAUGCCGCGUGUGUGAAGAAGGUCUUCGGAUUGUAAAGCACUUUAAGUUGGGAGGAAGGGUUGUAGAUUAAUACUCUGCAAUUUUGACGUUACCGACAGAAUAAGCACCGGCUAACUCUGUGCCAGCAGCCGCAGUAAUAC